GGGUAUUUCUAUAUUUUAUAUUAUCUUUAUUUCGUUCCGCUAUUCACGGGUAAGCUAUAAUAGAAAGUUGGACUGACCACGUAAGUAAUGUUCACACACAGUCAUUAGCCAUUGUUGCGGUAAGACGUGUGUCAUUUUGAGAAGGCCGAAAAACCAGACAGAGUCAUCGUGACCACCUAUGAAACAGGAUGUCUGGUUCCAACUCGGAGAUAAAUGGCCUAAGGUGGAUUGUGGAUAAGACAACCAACUAAACAUUGGUUCCACAUUGUGAAUUUACUCGCCAGACUGCCUACAACAUUGGUGCGCCAGAAAGCACGUAGGGGUCGGAGUGACAACACUUAUGGGACAGAAAGCUGGUAUGAUGCUGCGGCUACAGCUUAUGUCAUUCCUCGUCAUCAGCAGAUGAUAUCGGGUGGAAUACGGGAAGUCCGGGAAGUUGAAUGGUGCUGUCGUCAUUUAGACAGAUAUUGUUUUCUACUGGGACCAGAAUUGAACAGUAAUUCAGUGAGACACCGGAAGGAGAUACAGAACAGAGAAAGGCCAUGAACUUUAUAUAUAUAUAUCUUAUAGUUUCAUUGUAGAUAUUCAUCUGUAUGAAUGAGUGAAUGAGGUGUAUGUAUAAUCAUAUGUAUGUGUAUAGUGUAUUACUUUGUAAAUAAACUGUAUAUAUGUA